rnacentral:rRNA from 1 species
CCUACGGGGGGCUGCAGUCGAGAAUCUUCGGCAAUGGGCGCAAGCCUGACCGAGCGACGCCGCGUGCGGGAUGAAGGCCCUUGGGUUGUAAACCGCUGUCAGAGGGGAUGAAGUGCACGAGGGUUCUCCCUCGUGUUUGACAUAGCCUCAGAGGAAGCACGGGCUAAGUUCGUGCCAGCAGCCGCGGUAAUACGAACUGUGCAAACGUUAUUCGGAAUCACUGGGCUUAAAGGGUGCGUAGGCGGCUCGUUAGGUAGGGUGUGAAAGCCCCCUGCUCAACCGGGGAAUUGCGCCCUAAACCGGCGGGCUGGAGUGAGAUAGGGGUGUGUGGAACUUCCAGUGGAGCGGUGAAAUGUGUUGAUAUUGGAAGGAACGCCGGUGGCGAAAGCGACACACUGGGUCUCAACUGACGCUGAGGCACGAAAGCCAGGGGAGCAAACGGGAUUAGAUACCCCGGUAGUC